rnacentral:rRNA from 1 species
ACAUGCCCACAACAUAGCAUUAAUUUAGUGGAUCCCAUUAGAAAUCUGUAUUUAAGCACAAUCAAUCUAGAGUAGUACUGGGAUGGAUGACCGACUGAUAAGUCCUAGUGUUUUACAUGCC